ensembl:lncRNA LINC00298 long intergenic non-protein coding RNA 298
CUGGACCAGGAGCAUGUGCUGGGGGCUUGCUUUCCGCAAUCAGGCACUUUUUCAAGUUGGUCCUGAACGGUUCUGGACUGGAUGGCAGGCUGCUGUGUGUGAUUGAGAAUGUUGCCUGUCUGAGCCCUGAGAUGAGCUGAGGGUUCCUCCUCCCCAGCCAGCACCAGCCUCACACAGCCCUUGUAAAUCUGAAAGUGCUGUUGGUAGCAACCAGGGAUGGGCAGAGGCAGCCCUGUCCUGAGGGUGACAUGAAAGUGAGAGCAAGCUGAAGCUCCAGUUGGCUUAGUCUUCAAAAGUGUCACUUUCAGAUUAUAUCCCUCAGCUUUAAAAUAUCCUUCUUUGAAGUCCAUCCUGCUCUGCCCACUAUUUGUCCCCGGUGGUCACUUCCUCCUCUGUGCUCCCGUGGCCUGGGAUUCACACCAGGAAAGAACGCCACGAAGAAGGAAUGACAAGAAAAUGGAGGCAAAGAACAUUGGAGUCACUCCCUGGCUACACACACUGAGGUGAUAACCAAGGUGCUCAAAAAGGGCCGGUGUGCCGCAGUGAGUGCCAGUUUGAAUGAAGGAAGCAUGCGUGGCCUGAAGCCUCACCGUGUUCCAGGCGUCCAGUUAAGUGCUCUGCACAUAAUAUCACACAUUGCGCUCCACGAUAAGAACAAAUUCUCACAUGGGAACCGAGCAAAGUGUAAUGGAUGUUCCCAGGAGCUGCCUAUGGGAUUCAAGAAAACUGUAUGAGAGGAGUAACAUUUGGGCUGGAAGCGAAAAUACAAGUAAACAUAUGUCAAAUGGCAUGGGCUCAGCUCAGCACAGCUGCUUGGGAAGCCAGAGUAAUGAAGGUCCCACCAUCCUGAGGCUGCUCCAAAGGCAACGUGUGUUUUUCCUGGGCACAGCAUUACAACAUAGGGUCUGGAAAGCAAUCCUCCACAGAAAGAAAGCAGAAUCUUCUGGGCAUUUCUGAGCAAGUGGACUUCCUUCAGCUGAGCACAGUCCUCAGGAGAAGCGGACAGGUGCAAAGUGUUGGAAGCCAACACUCACAGCAGUUGGGGGUUGGAGUGCUCUGGCUUCCAACAGCAUUGAAACCAACAGCAUUGACUACAGCGAGUUUCUCAAUCUUCAGAACACAUCCCAGCCUCCCUGGGGGCUGCUAAUGCACAGAUUGCCGUUUCCCACUCCAAGAGUUUCUGAUUCCAGAGGUCUGGGGUAGGGCUCGAUAAUUUGUUCUUCUAACCACCUAAUGCUGUUGGUCCAGUGACCACACUUUGAGAAAUGCUGUACUAUGUUUUCUCAUAUAUUUAAAAAUUCUCACCUCAUUUAUGGUUUAAAACUUCUAGAACAAUUCUGAAUAGUUUUUGUAAUAGUGAGCCUCACUUUCCUGUCUCUGCCCUUAAUGGGAAUGUCUCUAAUGAUUCACCUUUCAUACGGGGACUUGUUGUGGUUUACUGGGCAAUUCCUUUUGGCAGGUUAAAAAAAUUCCCUCUGUUUCAAGCUAAAGCCAUUUACCAGGAAGAGACGCUAAGUUUUAUCAGAGGGUUUUUCCAGUAACUAUUGUGAUAAUCAUGGUUUUUUUUCCUAUUUAUUACGAUAUCAAACAUGAAACUUAUUUGAAGUCCUGGAUUAAACGGUGCUUGUUUUCUAUAA